rnacentral:rRNA from 1 species
UACAGAGGGUGCGAGCGUUGUCCGGAAUCACUGGGCGUAAAGGGUGCGUAGGUGGUUGUUUAAGUCUGCUGUGAAAGCCCCGGGCUCAACCUGGGAAUGGCAGUGGAUACUGGACAGCUAGAGUGCGGUAGAGGGUAGUGGAAUUCCCGGUGUAGCAGUGAAAUGCGUAGAGAUCGGGAGGAACACCAGUGGCGAAGGCGGCUACCUGGACCAGCACUGACACUGAAGCACGAAAGCGUGGGGAGCAAACAGG